GGCGUCAUGCGCCGGCUGUUGAGAACGCGCUCAGGACAGUUCGGACAUUGCGGUGAAUCAGAGCUUGUUCUGGACCCCAUCGACAGUCACUGCAUGAACAAAAACAGGUGAUGGAUAGAGGUGAAAGGGGGGCAGAGAGAAAGGGAGGAGAGAUGAGAGGGACCUGACCACCCAGGCCUGUCUUUACGAGGGUCUACAAGGAAUUGGCUGCAGGUCAUCUCAGAGGGUUCAACCGUUCAGAUUCCUCAGGGAGAUUCACGAUCAGACCCUGCAGGAAUGCGGUCGGGCCACGUGCCAGUGCACUUUUCCAGGUUAUGAAAACCCCCCAAACCCACCUGAAAGAUGUUUAAACGACUGACAAGAAAAGACAACAAGCAAAGCAGACAGAAAUUUAAUUCUAGCUCUUUAUUACUCAUAGAGAUUUACGGGUGAUUGCUUUUAAGUCUUCUUCGAAGCCGUAAAACUCAAAACGUUUUAUGUUGGGAGGUGGACUAGGUGAUAUACUGGGCAGAAACAUCAAACCAAAACAGGAAAAGAAGUCGGAGUCUCUUAAAAUUAGGAAUUCUGAGAUGUGGGAUGUCAUAGUACAGCUGGGCCCAGGGAAGAGAGGUCAUCCCUCUCUCUCUGUUUCUCUCUCGCUCAGUCUCAUUAUGGUUUUCCCUUCAAAUGUAUCCUAAAACACAAGAUCUAUUUUUUUAAAGGGACAGUUCUGUCAUCAUUUGCUUAAACUUGUAUAGCUUCCGUCCUUCUGCAGAACAGAUUUUUUUUUUUUCAAUGGUGUUUGUCAAUACAGUCAAAGUCAAUGGGGUCCAAAACAACAUUGAAAAUAUAUUUUGUUGUGUUGUGUGUUGGGGAAAGCUACUAUGCAACACAUUAUCACAUUAUUGCCUUAAAAAAGUAACUAAUUGCAUUGCUUAGUUACUUUUUAUGAAAAGUAAUGUGUUGUGUUACUUUUGCAUUGCUUUAUCUCAUCUGG